ensembl:lncRNA
AAAGUUUGAAGAAGGAAGAUCACAAACCAACAAGGCAAGUACUGCGUGGAGUAAGACUCCCAGCAAAGUAGGGCAUGAGCAUUUUCACCGAGAGCCACAUGGAAAGAAAAGUGAGGGACAGCUCAGCUGCAUCAGUUUGUUUUGAAAUCUCACUGUAAAUAAAUGUCAUCAAGCAUCUAACCCCAUCUUUCCUGCUCAGAUGAGAGAAAGGUACUACUCAGUACGUUAGAGGAGGAAACUUCUUUUAUUUUUUGUCUGUGAAGUCUGCUGCUGUUGCUAAGUCGCGUCAGUCGUGUCCGAUUCUGUGCGACCCCAUAGUCUGCAGCCCACCAGGCUCCCCCGUCCCUGGGAUACUCCAGGCAAGAACACUGGAGUGGGUUGCCAUUUCCUUCUCCAAUGCAUGAAACUGAAAAGUGAAAGUGAAGUCGCUCAGUCGUGUCUGACUCUUCUCGACCCCAUGGACUGCAGCACACCAGGCUCCUCCGUGGGAUUUUCCAGGAGUUGCCAGUGUCAGUGGAAACUGAUACAGUGAAACUGAUUCUAACAGGAAACUAGAGCCUUUAAAUGCAGGACAAGCAAGCUGAGCGCUGAAACCUGAGCUGCCUGCAGGGAAGGGCGGCAGAAGCUCUGGCUGGAACAGCAGCUGUGACCUCAGAGUCCCCUGACCUCCCUGACUCCAGGAUUCCAGGCUGAAUUCCAUCCUCACUCUGCCACUCCUUCAAACAGGCACCCUCCCCAUCACUUCAUUUGCAACAUUUGG